CGCUGGCGGCAGGCCUAACACAUGCAAGUCGAGCGCACCUUCGGGUGAGCGGCGGACGGGUUAGUAACGCGUGGGAACGUGCCCUUCUCUACGGAAUAGCCUCGGGAAACUGAGAGUAAUACCGUAUACGCCCUUCGGGGGAAAGAUUUAUCGGAGAAGGAUCGGCCCGCGUUAGAUUAGAUAGUUGGUGGGGUAACGGCCUACCAAGUCUACGAUCUAUAGCUGGUUUUAGAGGAUGAUCAGCAACACUGGGACUGAGACACGGCCCAGACUCCUACGGGAGGCAGCAGUGGGGAAUCUUGGACAAUGGGCGCAAGCCUGAUCCAGCCAUGCCGCGUGAGUGAAGAAGCCCUAAGGUCGUAAAGCUCUUUCGCCAGGGAUGAUAAUGACAGUACCUGGUAAAGAAACCCCGGCUACUCCGUGCCAGCAGCCGCGGUAAUACGAGGGGUUAGCGUUGAAGCC
rnacentral:rRNA from 1 species